rnacentral:lncRNA from 1 species
AAAAAUAUGAGAGUCAACUUCUUGGAAAUUGACUUCACAAAGUAUACUCCAUGGUUGGGUACUUCUACACAGAAUAAAUAAUAUUCCUCUUAAAACCACAAAUCUGUUUUCUGGCUCUGAUGCAAAAAUCAGCUUAUGAUGAGGUGAUCAUCAACUUGGAGUCUUGCGGAGCAUCCAAAAGUACUUCACAUGCCUAUCUCUAAAAUCGUUAUGAUUUGUGGAAACUACAAAGAAGGCAGCAAGAGUUCCUAACCAAAUGGUGCGUAUCCCAAUUUCGAAAACCCUUUUCAGAGUUUAACGAUUGAAGUCCUGGCCCACGGUAAAGCUUAAGGUUUGGAACUCUAGAACUGAAUCACUAGAAAGUUAUAUUCUUUCGUUUCAAGCAAGUGGUAAAAAGCUUUGAUAGGUCGAUUCACAUCGUUUUUAUAGGCAAACUCUGCAGUUGUAAGAACUUAUUAUUCCCACUUGCUCGGUCUUCCUUGCCUUGCACUAAGCUCCUAAGAAAGUCGUCUAGUAAACCUACCGACUGGAUGGAGUCUGCCUAUCCUGAGUGAUAAGGACUGCUAGAGAGAUCGCCUCUUAAGAAGUCCCCCCACCUCGGUCAGAGCCAGCAGGUAAGAAUCAGGAGUGAUAGGGAGAAACACCUUGAGAGAGUCCACCAAAAAGCCCAAUAUGUCAGUCAGGAAUCCAAUUCUGACCCAAAAGUUUAAACCUUUAGGUCCUGAGCUCUUACUUACAUAUUAAUCGCUCUUUCUGCAUCUUUUGGACCAAUGUGGGACAUAACUUUUUACUCAUGAAUCUAACAAAUCUCCCCCUUCAUGAGUAACCCGCACAUUAAAUCCAAAUUCACAAGCCUUCUUUGAACCCACUUUAAGACUCAACGUAAACCCACCUUAUCACUUAAGGUCAUAUCUUCUCCCAAACAUGGAUCCACUCUUUUUUAAGAUCCAACCUGCAUUCUGGAUCCUUACCAACCUUUGGCUUUUUGGUCUAACACCAACCAAACUCCUUGGCACUUUGAUCUACCACCAAAAAGAGAAUUUUCAGUGGUCCAAUUCCGAGAAGAAUCCACUUGCCCAUAAGUAGCCCAGUCUCGUAACCUGAAACUCUGAUACCAAUUUCAUAGGGAGAAACAUCUUGAAAGAGUCCACUAAAGAGCCCAAUAUGUAAGUCAGGAAUUCAAUUCUAACCCGAAUGCUUAAGCCUUUAGGUCUUGAGCCCUUACAUAUUAACCCCUCU